rnacentral:lncRNA from 1 species
CGUCCACCAUCUCCCAGGAUAUCUAGUCAGGCUGACCCCCAUAAUACAAUUAUCUGUCUACACAAUCUUUCAUUUUUCCUUUUCCUCAAUCAGCAUCAUCAAUUCACAUUUAAACAAGCAAAUCGUAAUUCAUACCAAGCAGACAACAUACAGUAUCAGUUUUUCAGUCAUUCAACCCAUAAUUAAUAAAAACGUAGUAUAUGCA